AUACGGAGGGCGCGAACGUUGCUGGGAAUCAUUGGGCGUAAAGCGCACGUAGGCGGCCUGAUAAGUCAAAUGUGAAAGCCCUCGGCUUAACCGAGGAAGUGCAUUCGAAACUGUCAGGCUUGAGUAUGGGAGAGGGUUGCGGAAUUCCCGGUGUAGAGGUGAAAUUCGUAGAUAUCGGGAGGAACGCCAGCGGCGAAGGCGGCAGCCUGGACCAAUACUGACGCUGAGGUGCGAAAGCGUGGGGAGCAAACAGGAUUAGAAACCCGAGUAGUCC
rnacentral:rRNA from 1 species